rnacentral:rRNA from 1 species
UACGUAGGGUGCGAGCGUUGUCCGGAAUUAUUGGGCGUAAAGAGCUCGUAGGCGGUCUGUCGCGUCGGAUGUGAAAACUCGGGGCUCAACCCCGAGCCUGCAUUCGAUACGGGCAGACUAGAGUUCGGUAGGGGAGACUGGAAUUCCUGGUGUAGCGGUGAAAUGCGCAGAUAUCAGGAAGAACACCGAUUGCGAAGGCAGCUCGCUGGGACGUUACUGACGCUGAGACGCGAAAGCGUGGGGAGCAAACAGG